rnacentral:tRNA from 1 species
GGCGCGAUAGCCAAGCGGCUAAGGCGGAGGUCUGCAAAACCUCUAUUCGUCGGUUCAAUCCCGACUCGCGCCU